UUUCAAAAAAAAAAAAAAAAAACCUGGAAUGAGACAGAAAAUUAGCAUGGCCCCUGCGCAAGGAUGACAUGCAAAUUUGCAAGCAUUCCAUAUUGUU
ensembl:snRNA U6 U6 spliceosomal RNA